GCAGCCUCACCAGGCCACCUUGUGUCAGUCCCCUGAGACGCAUCAUCGAGAAACAAACACAAAUUAUUCACAGAUUGUUGCAGAUGGACCAAACAGUGAUUUAAGGGGACCGCCUCAUCAGACUACAGACAGACUUGUAACAGGUUGCUGGGAAGCAAGCAGGAAACCAUUACAGAUUAUUGAAGAAAGCUCAGAUAUCGAUUGUGGAAGACACCAAGACCACACCGCUCAUUUGCAGCCAGCAGCUGAGGUCACUCAACCAAAACAAAGCUCAAAUGCAUCACAGGUAUCAGAGGGGGAUGAGCCCCUUUACCCAGGAGCACCUCUCUCCAAAGGACAGAGUCUGCUUCUUUUGAUGUCCUUCAUAUUGAGACACAACCUGACAGGGACUGCGCUUGAGCAUCUCCUAAGAAUCUUCAAUGAACAUUUCCCAGGAUCAAUGCCAGCUACCUCUUACCUGUUUCAUAAAGCCUAUGGUCAGUAUGGACAAUAUGAAACACAUUUUUACUGUUCUGGAUGCACAAACUACAUAGGUAAAAGUAAUGGUCAUACACAG